AUGGCCCCUAAUCGAGCCCCUGGACCCGAUAAUAUUCCUGCUGAGUUCUAUCAAGUGUGCUGGGAUAUAGUUAAAGACGACAUUAUGGCCCUUUUUAAAGCUUUUCAUCAAGGGACGUUGGAUGUCCAGAGGCUUAAUUAUGGAAUUAUUACUCUGCUCCCAAAAGUUUCUGGAAUCGAGAAAAUACAGCAGUACAGGCCUAUUUGCCUGCUGAGGUGCCCAUAUAAACUUAUUACCAAAGUCCUCGAUCGAAGAGUUGCUAUAUAUGCAAACAAACUCAUUAGCCCUACUCAGAACGCCUUUGUAAAAGGAAGAAAUAUCAUGGAUGGAGUUUUGUCCCUCCAUGAAAUUCUUAACUACACUUAUUUUUAA
rnacentral:rRNA from 1 species